CACCUUCCAUAUUCUUGUGGCCAUGCCGAAGCCCACCUCUAAGACUCGGCCCCCUUUGGAGGUGGUGAAGGCAGCGAAGGGGGUUGCAGUAGGGGCGCUCUUGCUGCAGAUGGAGCCCCAACUUGGAACCCGACGUGCCAGGGCCCAGUCCCUGCAGCCAUCUCACUUUUCACAUACCUCAUUUCUGCUUGCCAAACCCACCCAGCCACUUAAUAAGGAAGCAGAGAGUAUGGGAUAGAGAAAUUGUGGGAAUAGUGGCCCAGCCAGAUGUUCAUUGCUCCACUGGGACUCUGAUAGGAGGCUUGGCCUUCAAGCUCUGCAGUUUCCUGUCUGGCACCCUGGCAGCUGGGCUCAAGUCUAAAAUGUGCAGAAGUGUUUUAUAGAUAAAUAGAACAUUCCAAAGAGAUGGCCUCAUCAGCAGUGAGACAUCUUAGGGAAGGAGACACCACAGUAUUAAAGAGAAUUACCUCAAUGGCAGUGCCUGUGAGCUGGCUUGAGCCACCUUCUUUACCUCUGAGCUUUCUGCCUUCUGAAGCCCUUUUUGCUCUUUCUGUUCAGAUGAGAGGCAUUAUGGUUCCUAUUUGGGUAACAUUAGGGAGGUGGUCAAAGCCCCCAGUAUAGCCCAUUCCUGUAGUCCUAAUCCAAGAUGGUCAUCACUGAUAGUAGGAUUCUCCUCUCCCCAUUUCAGUCACAGGAAAUGGGGUGGUGACCAAACAAGCUCAAGUGAUAAACUGCUGGUGAUAUGUAUAUAUGUUUGUUGUUUUCUCCACCUCUGAGGUGCUGGGUUGCCUGAUACCAAAGUGUUCCAGUUUGUGUACUAAAGUUGUUUUUCUGGCAGCCUGAGACUUCGCUUUUUAAAAAAUGCAGCAAUUGGUUGAUUUUUGUUGUUCCUGAAGGACCCAUCACACUACCCACGGUAUCUGAGUUUCAAGUCUAGCAUGGCUUGGGUAAUCUGUGAUUGUACCUGUUUCUUCCUGGGAUUCUGCACAUAGCCAGGAGCAUCUCAUUGCUUCAUUCCGUGUUUUCUUGCAGUUAUGCCUGGGAUAUGCAGAUGGAAAUGCAUAUUUUAUUGUAAAUUUCAUUUUAUAUCUAGCUUAUAUUACCCUUAGGGCAUUAAGUGGGUCUUUUAAACUUAUGUCUGUUAAGUAGGUUGUCUGUGACUUGACGUCGGGCAGUAAAGGUAGAUGCUAAGCAAGUAUUUAUUAUCAAAAGGAAAUGUUGAGUCAACAUUAAGGGUGAGAACUGCUCUUCGUGGUUAAGGAUAAAACCAAGAAGGAAAGAAGUGAUGGGAAUGCAGAGACAGGAGGCAGCCCAGCUCUUCUUGGGGUUGUUUACGCCCAUCCUUGCGUUGGUCUGCGGCGUUUCCCCAGCAGACACCACUGUGGGCUACUCUAAUGACUUCUCUUUCCUCCUCGAACAACUUCUGGAGAAGUCGCACCGUUGCAGAGUGGUGCCGCUACACAUUGAUCAUCUAACCUUACCUGGGUCCUCAGCUAUAGGGCCGUCUGUCUCGAGUCAGCUGUCACUUAAAAGUUUCACCAUUUUCUCUGGUUUGACUUGCUGAAAAAAAAAAAAGAAACAUUAAAAAAUUUCACUAUUUUCUUAAAAUAGUUUACCUUAUCACACCCUCUCAUGUUCACUGGAUGACUAUCCUUUCUUCCUGGUGAAAGCAGAAACCCUCAGUUUCUCAUCUUGCACCUACAGACUCAUCUGCAAUCCUUACCUCCUUGGGAAAAAAAGACGUCUCUCUUUCCAUGUGAGUAUCAGUCAUCCCCCUGUGCCAUUUCAUUUUCUGGUUUUCAGUCCACCCUGCCUUUUCUCCGCAAAGUUUUCACUUCUGUGUCUUUAGCCUUUCCUCUAAUGGAUGUAGGUGUUGAAUAAUUUUACAUUUAAGGGGACCCUCCCUGAACCUGAUGUCCCUUUCCAGCCGCUGCCUUUUUCAUCCUUAACGACCAUGCUUCUUGAGAGUUGUCUACCCUUUCUGUCCCUCUCUUCUCCUUCACUGACACGUGACAUUCUACUGCUACCCAGCCACUGAUCAUUUUCCUGUCAAGGGGACCAUUGAUCUCCAACUUGCUAUCCUCCUAAGUUUUUAUCUGGCUUGAUCUUUGUGUUACACUUGGCACUGUUGGGCCCACUUCUUUAAGUGUUCUCUUAGUUUUCAUGGCUCCAGUCUCUCCAGAUUUUCCUGUGUUCCUUGACCUAUUUUAACAUUUCUUCAGGGGGGCACCUCUUCCUUUGGAGUUGGUGGUGUUUUCUAGGGUUCCAUUGUGACCUCAUUUUACUUUUAUACAUCUCCAGAAGUUAUAUGAUUCACUGCCAUGGUUCCACUUUCAUUUAUAAUGCCCAAAUCUCUACCUCUGGCUUGUUCUGCCAACAUGAAUAGUCAGCAGCCACCUGGACAUUUCUGCUUGCCAUCUCCCAGGUCCACUCCUGUAGUCGGUAAUCGGUGCCCACCAUUCACGAAGUAUAUAUUAGUUUGCUAAGUCUACCAUAACAGGAUGCCACAGACUAGGCCCAAGCAACAGAAUUUUCUUUUCUCACAGUUUUAGAGGCUUGAAGUCUAAGAUCACCGUGUCAGGAGGUUUGAUUUCUCCUGAGGCCUCUCUCCUUGGCUCGCAGAUGGCCAUCUUCUUGCUGUGUCCUCACAUGUCCUUUUCUCUUUUGUGUGUGUGUGUGUGAGACGGGGUCUUGCUCUGUCACCCAGGCUGGAGUGCACUGGCACAAUGACAGCUCACUGCCCCCUCAACCUCCUGGGCUCAAGUGAUUCCUUCCACCUCAGCCUCUCAAGUAGCUGGGAAUACAGGUGCAUGCCACCACGCCUGGCUAAUUUUUUGUAUUUUUGGUAGAGAUGGUGUUUCACCAUGUUACCCAGGCUGGUCUCAAACUCCUGAGCUCAAGCAAUCUGCCCGCCUUGGCCUCCCAAAGUGCUGGGAUUAUAGGCAUGAGCCACUGCGCCAGGCCAGGCCUCUUCGCUCUGCACACAUACAUCUGGUGUCUCUUCCUUUUAUAAGGACAUUGGUCCUAUUGGAUUAGGGCCCCACCCUUAGGACCUCAUUUAACCUUAAUUGCCUCUUUAAAGGCCCUGUCACUAAAUACAGUCACAUUGGGGGUUAGGACUUCAACAUAAUGAGUUUUGGGAGAGACAGUUCAGUUCAUAACAGCCAUUUGCCUGAGCAAGAACUGGGGGUUCUUCCUUAACUCCUCUGUGUUGCGUAUCUGAUUCACCACAUCUUGACCGUUCUACGGGCGUACCUUGGAGAUACUGUGGAUUUGGUUCCAGACCACUGCAAUAAAGCAAAUAGUGCUAUAAAGUAAGUCACACAAGUUUUUGGUUUCCCAGUGCAUAUAAAAGCUGUGUCUAUACUGUAGCCUAUUAAGUACCCAAUAGCAUUAUAUAUAUUAAAAAAAGUACAUACCUUAACUAAAACAAAAAAAUGCUAACGGUUGAGCCUUCAGCAUGUCGUAAUCUUUUUGCUGGUGGAGGAUCUUGUCUUAAUGUUGAUGGCUGCUGACCAGUCAGGGUGGUGGUUGCUGAAGGUAGGGAUGACUGUGGCAAUUUCUCAAAAUAAGAUAGUGAUGAAGUUUGCCACGUUAAUUGACUCUUCCUUUCACAAAAGAUUUCUCUGUAGCAUGUUAACGCUGUUUGAUGCAUUUUACCCACAGUAGAACUUAUUUCAAAAUUGGAGUCUUCUCAAACCAUGCCACUGCUUUAUCAACUAAGUUUCUGUAAUAUUCUAAAUCCUUUGCUGUCAUUCAACAGUGUUCACAGCAUCUUCACCAGGAGUAGAUCCCAUCUUAAGAAACCACUUUUUUUUUUUUUUUUUUUUUGAGAUGGAGUUUUGUUCUUGUCACCCAGGCUGGAGUGCAAUGGCACCAUCUCGCCUCACUGCAACCUCUGCCUCCGGGGUUCCAGUGAUUCUCCUGCCUCAGCCUCCCGAGUAGCCUGGAUUACAGGCAGCCACUACCAUGCCUGGCUAAUUUUUGUAUUUUUAAUAGAGAUGGGGUUUCACCCUGUUGGCCACGCUGGUCUCAAACUCCUGACCUCAAGUGAUCCACCCAUCUCGGUCUCCCAAAGUGCUAGGAUUACAGACGAGAGCCACUGUGCCAGGCCAGAAGCCACUUUCUUUGCUCAUCCAUAAGAAGCACGCCUCAUCCACUAAAGUUUUGUCAUGAGAUUACAGUAAUUCAAUCACAUCUUCAGUCUCCACUUCCAGUUCUCUUGCUGUUUCCACCAUAUCUGCAUUUACUUCUUCCACUAAAGUCUUGGACCGUUCGAAGUCAUCCAUGAGAGUUGGAAUCAGCUUCCUUCAAACUCCUGUUAAUGUUGAUAUUUUUAUCUCCUCCUGUGAAUCAAGAAUAUUUUUAAUGACAUCUAGAAUGGUGAAUCCUUUCCAGAAGGCUUUCAGUUUACUUUACCCAGAUUAAUCAGAGGAAUCACUAUGGCAACUGUAGCCUUUGAAGUAUAUUUCUUAAUAAUAAGACUUGAAAGUCCAAAUUACUCCUUGACCCAUGGGCUGCAGAAUGGAUGUUGUAUUAGCAGGCAUAAAAACAUUAAUCUGGCUAGGCAUGGUUUGGCUCACGCCUGUAAUCCUAGCACUUUGGGAGGCUGAGGUGGGUGGAUUGCCUGAGCUCAGGAGUUCUAGACCAGUCUGGGCAACAUGGUGAAACCCUGUCUCUACUAAAACAAAAAUUUAGCUGGCAUGGUGGUGCGCAUCUGUAGUCCCAACUGCUUUGGAGGCUGAGGCACAAGAAUCACUUGAACCGGGGAAGUGGAGGUUGCAGUGAGCUGAGAUCAUGCCACUGCACUCCAGCCUGGGGGGACACAGCAAGACUGUCUCGAAAAAUAAAUAAAUAAAUAGAGCAUUAAUCUCCUUGUUCAUCUCCAUCAGAGCUCUUGGAUGGCCAGGUGCAUUGUCAGUGACCAGUAAUAUUUUGAAAGGAAUCUUUUCCUGAGCAGUAGUUCUCAACAGCAGUCUUAAAAUAUUCAGUAAAGCAUGCUAUAAACAGAUGUGCUGUCAUUCAGGCUUUGUCGUUUCAUUCACAGAGCACAGGCAGAGGAGAUUUUGUGUAAUUCUUAAGAGCCCUAGGAUUUUCAGAACGAUGAAUGAGCACUGGCCUCAACUUAAAGUCACCAGGUGCAUUAGCCCCUAACAAGAGAAUCAGCCUGUCUUUUGAAGCUUUGAAGCCAGGCAUUGACUUCUCUCUAGCGAUGAAAGUCCUAAGUAGCAUUGUCUUCAGUAGAAGGCUGAUUCAUCUACAUUGAAAGUCUGUUUUUUAUGUUGCAGAGAUUGCUUCUUUCCUUAAACCUCGUGAACCAAACCUCUGCUAGUCUCAGACUUUUCUUCUGUAGCUUCCUCACUUCUCUCACCCUUCAAUAGAACUAAAGAGAGUUAAGGCCUUGCCCUAGAUUAGGCUUUGGCUUAAGGGAGUGUUGUGGCUGGUUUAAUCUUCUAUCUAGACCCACUGAAACGUUCUCCAUAUCAGCAAUAAGACUGUUUUGCUUUCUUACUCAUGUGUUCACUGGAGUAGUACUUCUAAUUAACUUCAAGAACUUUUGUAUUCACAACUUGGCUAACUGGUGCAAGAGGCCUAGCUUUGGCCUAUCUCAGCUUUCAACAUGGCGUCCUCACUAAGCGGAUAAUCAUUCUAGUUUUUGAUUUGAAGUGAGAGUUGUGCGACUCUUCCUUUUGCUUGAACACAUAGAAGCAUUGCCGGGUUAUUCAGUGACCUAGUUUCAAUAUUGUGUCCCAGGGAAUAGAGAGGCCCAAGGAGAGGGAGAGAGAUGGAACAGCUGGUUGGUGGAGCAAUCAGAACAAACAUACAUUUAUUGAUUCAAUUUACAGUCUUAUGUGGGGUGGUUCAGUCAUCCCAAAGCAAUUACCAUAGUAACAUCAAAGAUCACGAUCACCAAAACAGAUAUAAUGAAAAAGUUUAAAAUAUUGCAAGAAUUACCAAAAUGUGACACAGACAUGAAGUGAGCACAUGCUAUUGGGAAAAUGGUACUGACAGACUUGCUUGACUCAGUGUUGCCACAAACCUUCAAUUUGUAGAGUGCAGUAUCUGCAAAGGCAAUAAAGUGAUACACAAUAAAACAAGCUGUGUAUGUAUUUUAUUAUUGUUUGAACCCAUCCUUUUUCCAUCUCCUCUGCCACCU
rnacentral:lncRNA from 1 species